GUCAUUUUACCAAAAGAGUAUUUGAGUAUUCCACAAAGAAGUAUUUUAGUAUUUUCAAGAAAGUAUUUUGUUAAUAUUAGUAGGAAGAUUAUUUUGGAAAUUUAUCAUCAAAUGUAUUUUGGCAAUUUGAUGAGUAAGGGCAUUUUAGUCUUUUACCCAAAAUGACUACCACUAUAAAAAGGGGAAAACCUAAAGUUUCCCAUCUUUUUCCAUCUUCUUCACUAGCCACCAUUUUUCAAAAAGGAGAAGAUCUUGCAAAUAUCAAAGGGAAGCAAAGAGGUUUCAAGAAUAAUUAAAGCCAGUCAAACUUUGACUGUUGAUUUUUGUGUAAUCAAGAGUUUAGAGAAGAAGUUGCAGGUACAAGUUCUUGAUGUGCAUGGAAAUCAUAAGCAUCCGGAUGGGAGUUUUAGUACACGAGUACUUUCUUAUUUAAGUUAUCUUGAAUUUUAUAUUUGACUUUACUUGACCAAUGGGGUCAAGGUUUGACUUUUGAAUAUGGGACUAGUAUGGGAUAGUCUCGGAGUUUGUAAUUCAUUUACAUACUUUCUUAUUUCCGUUGUAUUAAAGUAUUUUCAGUUUAUCUUAAAAGACUUCCUUUGUA